UACGUAGGGGGCAAGCGUUGUCCGGAAUCAUUGGGCGUAAAGAGCGUGUAGGCGGCCCGGUAAGUCCGCCGUGAAAGUCCAGGGCUCAACCCUGGGAUGCCGGUGGAAACUGUCGGGCUAGAGUCCGGAAGAGGCGAGUGGAAUUCCUGGUGUAGCGGUGAGAUGCGCAGAUAUCAGGAGGAACACCGAUGGCGAAGGCAGCUCGCUGGGACGGUACUGACGCUGAGGUGCGAAAGCGUGGGGAGCAAACAGG
rnacentral:rRNA from 1 species